UCAGUGAAUCACAAAGCCAACAUUUGAUGACAAACUGUGACAGGUUUGCUCUGGUUGCCAUAACAGUCUAUCACAGACUGGGUGGCUUAAAUCACAGACAUUUAGUUUUUCAUCGUUUCAGAGUCUGGAAGUCCAAGAUCAAGGGACCAGAGGGGUCAGUGAGGCCUUCUCUCACCUGAACUGGGAUCAGAUUAGCAGCAACAACAAUGAAUGAGUGAUGGAGACGGCAUCCGGCACCCACAGUACACACAGAAUGGUUAUGUUUAUCUUCCAUCUCCUGUGCCAGCUUACUGACAUGGGGCACUGCAGUUCCCAGAGCAAGCCUGGACUUGUCCCCUGAUGAGCACAUGGGACAAUCAUCCAAGUAGAAUGAAACCAGCUGGGAGAAGCCACCACACAUCCCCUUCAGAAACAGCAACUCUCCCACGCCUGACUGACUUCCUGGUGCCUGGAACUCCUCUGAGUGGAGCAACUCUAUUGACUGAGAUUAUCUCCAUAAAGUCCAGGUGAAGGUGAAAAUAACAAUCUCACCAUUUACUGAUUGUCAAUUUCCUGUCCAAUAAGAAAAGAAUAAGACUUCAGGGAGGCAGGGCAGGCAACAGGCACGUCUGAGUCCAUUUCUCAGCUGAAAUCUACAAGAAACUGAGGACCUCAAUCCCCCAACCCUGGAGCAAUGCAGUCCUGCCGGUAUGCUUGUAGGGGUGCUCAGAAGCAGACCCUUCCCCACCUGAGCCUUCAGAUGAGUCCUCAUCCCUGGCCAGUACCUGAGUGUGGACUUGUGAGUGAGCCAAGCCAGCCAUGCCACACAAAGAUUCCUGACCCACAAAAACUGUGAGAUGAUAAAUGUGCAUUGAUUCAAGCUGCUAAGUUUGGGGGCAACUUGUUACACAGCAGGAGAUAACUACUACACCACCACCAUGAUCUGUUUUUUGGCCUUUGAACGUAUCUCAUUUAUUCUUUUUUUAAAUUCUGUUUUCCUCUCCAAGAUUGCCACCCAGUGUCUGUCCAAUUCCUCACCCACAAGUCAGUUUCCACUUUCCCUCUGAGCCCUUCUGAUUUUUUCCACUCAUGAUGGUUUUUCUCUUCCACAAGACACAGAAUUUAUUGUCUCAGCUGUGCCAUUCCAAGAUCAGGGUUUCUUUAAGCAUUCCCCCGGCCUUGGAAUAGCACAGCUCAAAACAAGGUACAAAUGGGAUUUACUUUUUUUUUUCUGUGCUCUUUAUGACUGUAUUACAUCCCCUUUCACUCUUUUUUUCUUUCAUUUUUGAAAAUAUAAUAAUGUUAUCAACUAAAGUCACCAUGUUGUAAAAUAAUAUCUUGAAUUUAUUUCUCUUAUCCAACUGAAAUUUUGUAUCCUUUGAUCAACGUUUCCCCAACCUCCAACUCCCCCAUUGCCCAGCCCUUAGUAACCACUAUUCUUCUCUCUGCUUCAGUGAGUUCAGCUUUUGAAAAUUUUCCACAGAUGAGUGAGGUCAUGUGGUAUUUGUCUUUCUGUGCCUGGCUUAUUUCAGUUAAUAUAAUGUCUUCCAGGUUCAUCCAUGUUG
rnacentral:lncRNA from 1 species